AGUUUGACCCCGGAAGUGCGGGCGCUCAGGGAGCUGUCACCGUGGUCGGCGGCGGCGGAGGCGGCGGCGGCACAGAGCCGGUGGUGGAGCCGCCGAGGUGAUCUUUGACGAGACUCUACAGAAGUGCCUGGACUCCUACCUGCACUAUGUCCCCCGCAAAUUCGAUGAGGGGGUGGCCUCAGCCCCUGAGGUUGUUGACAUGCAGAAGCGCCUCCAUCGAAGUGUUUUUCUCACCUUCCUCCGCAUGUCCACUCACAAGGAAUCCAAAGAUCACUUCAUUUCCCCUUCUGCGUUUGGAGAAAUCCUCUACAAUAACUUCCUCUUUGACAUUCCAAAGAUCCUGGACCUCUGUGUGCUCUUUGGAAAAGGCAACUCACCACUGCUCCAGAAGAUGAUAGGAAACAUCUUUACACAGCAGCCAAGUUACUACAGUGACCUGGAUGAAACCCUGCCUACCAUCCUUCAGACAGGGUCUUGCUCUGUCACCGAGGCUAGAGUGCAGUGGCACAAUCAUAGAUCACUGCAGCCUUGAACUCCUGGGCUCAGUUGAUCCU
rnacentral:sRNA from 1 species